CUUAGGUUCCUCCAAACAGCUUGUCUGGAAUUUUCUUUCCCUCAUUAGCAAUUAUAAAGAUAUGCUAAUGCUUUGCACCAAGUGGCAGCUACAUGCUUGAGACCAACACUGAAAAUCAGUCAUGGAAUCAUUGCAUAUCUGAACAAGGGCCACAAGAGGAGGCACAGAUGGGUCAAUGGACUUGAGCAGAGCCACCCAGCAAAUUCAGUGUCGGAGUAUGGAAACUAGAUGUCCUGAUCCAACCAUCCUUCCCUGCACCCUCCCAUCUAGGCUAAUGAGGAGAAAUGUAAUCACUGUGGUAAUUGCAGGCAAAGAUGAGCAUCACUUGGGUGCAAGGCUGCCAUCAGUAUGGCUGGGCUGCUGAAUUUUCUGGCAUCAGGAACCUAUGAGACCUAGAACUGCUGUCACCCUCUUAUGCCACCACACCUUCUUCCAUGCUUCCUUUGCCUGAGAAUCUCUACAAAGAGGAGAAUCUGAGAAGGAAAUGAGAACUCCAGCCAGAAACCAGCAAUAAAUUGAGGGCUCCUAUGAGCAAUGCAUUCUCCAGCCCCAAUCAAGCCUUUGGAUGACCGCAGCUCUUGCCAGCAUUUUGAUUGCACUUCAUGAAAGACUUUGAGUCAGAGCCACCUACCUAAGCCACUCCAAAAUUCCUGACCGUCAAAA